AACCUGGUACCUUGUCUCUUAACAUACGACCGCCUCCGCCGCUCCUCUACCCAAUGCCGCCGGUAGCGAUGCUCCGAUGACCCCCAAAAUUACACCACCCCACCUCCUCGACUUCCUCUUUCCAUUUUUCCAUUGACAUCCUUCGAAUAGCAGUCAAACGCGUUGAAUAUUUGUUUGAAGCAGAAGCUACUCCGCCGUGUGCGGCGGCGCCGAUGACAAUCGACCCCAAAAGAACGCCAAACACUCCCCUCACCUUCCUCACCCAAAAUCUGUAAGUCUCGUCCCUCUAAUGACGAUCAAGGUUCUCGAAUCUUAGAUUGAGUGAACCCCAGAAUCCAAAAUUAUCCCAAAUUGGGUUCUGUGGAAUAUUUAGGUCCAAAAUGACUUUAUUUAUGUGUUCUUAUAAGAACACACGGUUAAUAUCAUAUUUGGGCAAAAAUUUGAAGAGUUGAAGAUCCAGGCUUCCUUUUCCAUCCCUCAAAUUCGUUCUUUUAGGUAUUUUUUUCCUUUCUUUCUUCAGUGUAAUAUUUCUUUUCACUUAUAUUUCUGUUUCUUCCUCUUUUUUGAAUCAUUUUAUUUGCUCCAUAGUUUAGUGGUUCAUGCAUGAUUAACUUUGAGUCGUUUAAUAGAUAGUUUGUAAAGUUAUUUUUGCUUUAAAUUGCUAGUUGGAUUACUCUUAUUCAGUAGAACAUUUAGGCUAUGGUUUUAAUUGUCUUGUGUUAUUUGUUGUUUACAACUUAUUAAUUAGAUGGUUACUAGUUGGGCCAAGUAGAUUUUUGGUACCGAGGGCUGGUUUUUUGUCUUUUUUUUUGGGGUUUAUCUUGAUCAAAAUUUAUCCUUGACCCAGAAUUGUUAGUAAGGGUAAAUGACUAGGGGUCGAAGGGUAGUUUGAGUAGUCUAGGUUAGAGAAUCUAUUCAUAAUUAAAAUAGGAAUGUUCUAGCGGGGAAUGUUAGCCAAUUUCAGGAUUCUGAUUAGUCAACUUGGAUAGAAAGUUAAUAACUAAAGGAUACUUAGGCAAAAAGGAAAAUUUCAAAAGGGCUAAGCUGCAAAAUCAGAACCAAAUAUCUGCCUUAUUUUGCUUGCCUAUAAAGGCACCCCAUCUUGACCUAGAAGGGGAAUAUUUUUGGACAGAUUUUAAAGAUCUUAAGAAUUAGAGAAAAAGGGAAAAAAAUUAGAGUUUUAUUGAGCUGCUUGAACUUUGAAACAUCCGGGAAAGACUUUAAGAGCUUAAAAAAUUAGAGAGAAUUCAGGGAUGAAGUUCUAGAGAUUAAGUUAGGAAAAUGGCUGGAUUCUGAAAAUAAGAGCACUGUUCCAUUGAGCCUUUUGAUAUUUUUCUGAUUUUUUCAACUGCUAAAAACCAUAGUGCUAGAUUAAUGGGAGUUGAGAUGGAUUGAUAUCAAAUUUUGGAAAGUCUUGGGUCGAGCUGUUUGGAAGUUCACUGUUUCAUAGAAUUUGGACUUACUUUUGUUGUUUUCAACCACAUAAAUCUGGGCUGUGUUGUUGCUGUUGUUGAUCCCUGCUAUUACAUUACUGAUACCUCACUAUUUCUUCUCAUGUUUCAAUCUCUAGGUAUACACUUCGAUGCCUAUGUACAGAUUAACUCAUAUGGUGUGAAGAUAUGAAGAUCCAUUUAGCUGAAGGAUGUGUUACUUCUUCUUUAUGUUGUUUUUAUUCAUGGUUCUGCUCUUAGUGUUUAAACCUAUGCAAUACUAUGAAUAUUUAAGACUCAUUUCAAUUUAUAAGAACUGGGUUAUAAUAAUAAUAUUUCCGUUUGUAUUGGUUAGUAGCUAUGGCCAAUAGUAUGCAUUUGAGAUUGUUUGAGUAUAUUUACUGUUGUUUAUUUCUAGUAGGCACAAUUUAAUAGUGUUACAGAUGUGGUAUUAUGGUUUUGGAAAUGAAUUUGUUGUCCAGCUGAAUCAGUAGUUGUUAGUCAAAGCUAAUUUCCAUAACAAGUGAAUUUUUUCUCCCUUGUUUCAAAGUGAAUUCGAGACCUUUGUUUGCUUAGGCG
rnacentral:lncRNA from 1 species